CAUGUCUUCUUAGUGGUGGUGACCCUCCAAUUAGGAAAUCUCUUUCUAAGUAACAUCCAUUUUGCCUCCUCAGAAUGUUUAUUUGGCUUGUUUCCUCUCAUAGAUUUAUUGUAAUACAGAUCUGAAACUGUAGUGAGAAUAAUCUUGAGGAACAGGAAGAAGAGCUGCAGCCAAGAAAAUGGUCAGGAAAGAGAAAUCUGAGUCCAAAGCAGGAAUGUAAUUUGAGGAAAAUCUCUCAGGCAAUUCUUCCUAGCCCUCUUUAGGAUAAUGGCAAGGAAGAGAAACCAUACAUUUUGAGCAUCACAUCUUAUUAUCCUUCUACAUGACACUCCUUGAAAGUGGUUGUCUAUAUGCUUUUUGGAAUUCCACAAGCAGUGCUAAAAUACAACAAUUCUGAUACACACAGAUGCCCAAGGACUGGAAAUUUCCCCAAAAAUUUUUUGAACAGCACCACAGGAUCAUUUGAUUGUCAUCUGCUAUCUUCCCAGUCAACUUCUGACAAGCAAAAUCAAUGGAAGAACUGUGUGAUUUGCUUAACAACAUUGUGAUUUGCUUAACAACCAUAUGAUUCUCUUAAUGAACAUGGCAAAAAAAUCAAUAAAAUCGGUUGAAGUCACAUAAAGCCUUAUUUAAUGACCAAAAUGUUUAAUAAUAAAUUCUCCAGCCCCUAUUGUGGCUUUAAGGACUACUUGUACAUUAAACCAUUUGCCUUUACUUCAUGGAUACCUAGCAACUAUGGUUUAGAAGCAAUGACUCAAUAAACUGUAUGAACCUU